UACGUAGGGUGCGAGCGUUAAUCGGAAUUACUGGGCGUAAAGCGUGCGCAGGCGGUUUUGUAAGUCAGGUGUGAAAUCCCCGGGCUCAACCUGGGAAUGGCAUUUGGGACUGCAAGGCUGGAGUGUGGCAGAGGAGACUGGAAUUCCUGGUGUAGCAGUGAAAUGCGUAGAUAUCAGGAGGAAGACCGAUGGCGAAGGCAGGUCUCUGGGCUGACACUGACGCUCAUGCACGAAAGCGUGGGGAGCAAACAGG
rnacentral:rRNA from 1 species